GAGAAUCUAGUAAACUCAUUACAUGAUUUUGUCAUAAUCAAGUCACAAUAUUUGUGAUUCUCU
rnacentral:tRNA from 1 species